GACGAACGCUGGCGGCGGGCUUAACACAUGCAAGUCGAACGAAGUGGCGAACGGGGGAGUAAUACGUGAGUAACCUGCCCUCCUUGUUGGGAAAAGCCUUGGAAAAGGGGUCUAAUACCGACUACAGGGGGAGGGGCUCGCGGCCUGUCAGCUUGUUGGGGGGGUGAGGGCCUCCCAAGGCGGUGACGGGUAGCCGGCCUGAGAGGGUGACCGGCGAAAGUGGGCCUGGGAUACGGGCCAGAUGCCUACGGGAGGGAGCAGUAGGGGAUAAUGCGCAAUGGGCGAAUGCCUGACGGCGGGACGCAGCGUGGGGGAUGAAGGCUUUCGGGUUGUAAACCUCUGUCGCUAACGAACGGGUAGGUGGAGAAGAAGCGCCGGCUAACUACGUGCCAGCAGCCGCGGUAAUAC
rnacentral:rRNA from 1 species